GUGUAUAUACACAUAUAUACAUACAUGUGUAUAUACAUAUAUAAGCACAUAUAUGUAUAUAUGUAUAUAUGCAUG
rnacentral:pre_miRNA from 13 species